ensembl:lncRNA
AAGAAAAACAGUAAAGUGUGAAAGAGAAAGAGGAAAAUUGCAAAGUGUGAGAAAAAAGCAAAGAGAGGAAAGAGGAAAAAGAACUAAGUGUGAAAAAAACAAAGUGUAAGUGGACAGAGGAAAAAGAACAAAGUGUGAAAAUAGCAAAGUGUGAGACAAGAGGAAAAAGAACACUGCUUUCCUCAUGUGUUUGUUUGUUUGUUUCAGAUGCUGAGAGACCAAGCGGUGGACGUCCAGAGAGCAGAGGUGAGUUGCACAUUGUCACACAUUGCACACAGUAGACUUUGCUGCUUUCCUCAUGUGUUUGUUUGUUUGUUUGUUUGUGUCAGAUGCUGAGAGACCAAGUGGUGGACGUCCAGAGAACAGAGGUGAGUUGCACAUUGUCACACAUUGCACACAGUAGACUUUGCUGCUUUCGUCAUGUGUUUGUUUGUUUGUUUGUUUGUUUCAGAUGCUGAGAGACUCAGCGGUGGACGUCCAGAGAGCAGAGGUGAGUUGCACAUUGUCACACAUUGCACACAGUAGACUUUGCUGCUUUCCUCAUGUGUUUGUUUGUUUGUUUGUGUCAGAUGCUGAGAGACCCAGCGGUGGACGUCCAGAGAACAGAGAUGCUGAGAGACCAAGCGGUGGACGUCCAGAGAACAGAGAUGCUCAGAGACCAAGCGGUGGACGUCCAGAGAGCAGAGAUGCUGAGAGACCAAGCGGUGGACGUCCAGAGAGCAGAGAUGCUGAGAGACCCAGCGGUGGACGUCCAGAUAGUAGAGGUG